GACGCCAGCUCGCGCAGCCGGGCCAGCGCGGCGGUCUCGCUCAGCGCGGGCGGCAGCUCCAGCGGCCGGGACGUGCGGAUCGCCGCCGGGACGGCGUCG
rnacentral:tRNA from 1 species